AGACCGAUAGCGAACAAGUACAGUGAUGGAAAGAUGAAAAGAACUUUGAAAAGAGAGUGAAAAAGUACGUGAAAUUGUUGAAAGGGAAGGGUAUUGGAUCAGACUUGGUGCUAUGCGAAUAGCGGCCCUUCUUGGGCUGCCCACUCGCACUCCACCGGGCCAGCAUCGGUUUGGGCGGCAAGACAAUGGCGGGGGAACGUGGCACCGCUCUCGGGCAGUGUGUUUAUAGCCCCCGCUGAUGUUGCCUGCCUAGACCGAGGACUGCGGCUUCUGCCUAGGAUGCUGGCGUAAUGAUCCAACACCGCCCGUCUUGAAACACGGACCAAGGA
rnacentral:rRNA from 1 species